rnacentral:rRNA from 1 species
UACGUAGGGUGCGAGCGUUAAUCGGAAUUACUGGGCGUAAAGCGUGCGCAGGCGGCUUCGCAAGUCAGACGUGAAAUCCCCCGGGCUUUAACCUGGGAAUGGGCGUUUUGAAAACUACGGAGCUGGGAGUGUGGCAGAGGGAGGUAGAAUUCCACGUGUAGCGGUGAAAAUGCGUAGAUAUGUGGAGGAAUACCGAUGGCGAAGGCAGCCUCCUGGGCCAACACUGACGCUCAUGCACAAAGCGUGGGGGAGCAAACAGG